rnacentral:tmRNA from 1 species
GGGGCUGAUUCUGGAUUCGACGGGAUUUGCGAAACCCAAGGUGCAUGCCGAGGGGCGGUUGGCCUCGUAAAAAGCCGCAAAAAAUAGUCGCAACCUGCUCUGAGCCCUCCCUCCCUAGCUUCCGCUCUUAAGACGGGGAUCAAAGAGAGGUCAAACCCAAAAGAGAUCGCGUGGAGGCCCUGCCUGGGGUUGAAGCGUUAAAUCUAAUCAGGCUAGUCUGGUAGUGGCGUGUCCGUCCGCAGGUGCCAGGCGAAUGUAAAGACAGACUAAGCAUGUAGUACCGAGGAUGUAGGAAUUUCGGACGCGGGUUCAACUCCCGCCAGCUCCACCA